UUAACAUGUCGACCUGAUGGUGGCGCUAGAUGGAAAGUCAGAGGAUCAGCAGAGUUAUUACAGUUCAUCCUGAGGGGAGCAUGAACGAUGAAGCACGUCUCAUCACAGUCCAGCAGCUGCUGAUGCUUCAGUCUGAACAAAGUGGAGGACGGACGGACGUUAUGGUCCCUAUGGGAAAUCAGUAACAGGGACUCUGUUUCUGAACAAGCUGCAACGAUUAGUCGAUUAAUCGUUUAGUCAAUCGACAAAAUAAAUCAGCAAAUAUUUUAAUAAUUGAUUCAUCGUUUUCAGCCAGGUGAGCUACCAGGGCUGAGUAAUACCAGAGCAAUCAUUACGGCUGAGUCCUUAUCGCAGUGGCUCGGGUUCGAUCCCAACCCGCGGCCCUUUGCUGUCUAAUAAAGAAACAGCUUUUGGUCCCAGGUUCUCAAAUGUGAGAAUUUGCUUGGUAGUUGAAUUUUUUGCGAUGCAUCAUCAUUUUGUAUGUAUGUAAAGCUACUAGUUAAAUGUAGUGCAGUGAAAAGUCCAAUAUUUCCUCUGAGAUGUAGCAGAAGUACAAAGUGUCAUGAAAUGGGAAUACUCAAGUACAGUACGAGUACCUCACAUUUGUACUCAAGUACAGCACCGGAGUAAAUGUACUUAGUUACCUUCCAGCAGUGGACAUGACUGCAAACACCAGCUGUGACCAAUCAGCAGGUUUCACCUCAGAGGAAGAAAGAUUCACAACUUUGUUUUUAAUAUGAAACGUUUUCGGGGGUUUCAGCUGUUUUGUUUCCUGUUUCACCGACAUGUUUUACCUGUGAGUGAGUUUGCCUGCUCAGACUGUUUCGUUCCGAAGAGAUCAAACUAACCUGAAGUGUUUUACAAGAAGAAGAAGAAGAAGUUUUGUGAGGCAGAAUUUAGCUUUAAUAUUUCCUACAACAGUAAUCAUCUCUGGGCUUCAGUAUGCCAUGUGACGACAUCUGUCAUACAUAACGGAGUAUAAUUUAAUAAACAAAUGAUUACAGAUUCAACACAGGAGACAACACACACACACA